rnacentral:rRNA from 1 species
CAGUAGCCGCGGUAACACGUAGGUCCCGAGCGUUGUCCGGAUUUAUUGGGCGUAAAGCGAGCGCAGGCGGUUAGAUAAGUCUGAAGUUAAAGGCUGUGGCUUAACCAUAGUACGCUUUGGAAACUGUUUAACUUGAGUGCAAGAGGGGAGAGUGGAAUUCCAUGUGUAGCGGUGAAAUGCGUAGAUAUAUGGAGGAACACCGGUGGCGAAAGCGGCUCUCUGGCUUGUAACUGACGCUGAGGCUCGAAAGCGUGGGGAGCAAACAGGAUUAGAUACCCCAGUAGUCCCUGUCUCUUAUACA